rnacentral:rRNA from 1 species
CACGCCGUAAACGAUGAGUGCUAGGUGUAGAGGGUAUCGACCCCUUCUGUGCCGCAGUUAACACAAUAAGCACUCCGCCUGGGGAGUACGGCCGCAAGGUUGAAACUCAAAGGAAUUGACGGGGGCCCGCACAAGCGGUGGAGCAUGUGGUUUAAUUCGACGCAACGCGAAGAACCUUACCAGGGCUUGACAUCCUUAGAAUCCCGAGGAAACUUGGGAGUGCCCUUCGGGGAACUAAGAGACAGGUGG